AUUGAACGCUGGCGGCAUGCCUUACACAUGCAAGUCGAACGGCAGCACGGGGGGUAACCCCUGGUGGCGAGUGGCGAACGGGUGAGUAAUAUAUCGGAACGUGUCCUGUAGCGGGGGAUAACCUAUCGAAAGAUGGACUAAUACCGCAUACGACCUACGGGUGAAAGCGGAGGACCGCAAGGCUUCGCACUAUAGGAGCGGCCGAUAUCGGAUUAGCUAGUUGGCGGGGUAACGGCCCACCAAGGCGACGAUCCGUAGCUGGUCUGAGAGGACGAUCAGCCACACUGGAACUGAGACACGGUCCAGACUCCUACGGGAGGCAGCAGUGGGGAAUUUUGGACAAUGGGCGCAAGCCUGAUCCAGCCAUGCCGCGUGAGUGAAGAAGGCCUUCGGGUUGUAAAGCUCUUUCGGCGGGGACGAAACGGUUCGUGCUAAUACCACGGACUACUGACGGUGCCCGCAGAAGAAGCACCGGCUAACUACGUG
rnacentral:rRNA from 1 species